rnacentral:rRNA from 1 species
UGGGGAAUAUUGCACAAUGGGCGCAAGCCUGAUGCAGCCAUGCCGCGUGUAUGAAGAAGGCCUUCGGGUUGUAAAGUACUUUCAGCGGGGAGGAAGGGAGUAAAGUUAAUACCUUUGCUCAUUGACGUUACCCGCAGAAGAAGCACCGGCUAACUCCGUGCCAGCAGCCGCGGUAAUACGGAGGGUGCAAGCGUUAAUCGGAAUUACUGGGCGUAAAGCGCACGCAGGCGGUUUGUUAAGUCAGAUGUGAAAUCCCCGGGCUCAACCUGGGAACUGCAUCUGAUACUGGCAAGCUUGAGUCUCGUAGAGGGGGGUAGAAUUCCAGGUGUAGCGGUGAAAUGCGUAGAGAUCUGGAGGGAUACCGGUGGCGAAGGCGGCCCCCUGGACAAAGACUGACGCUCAGGUGCGAAAGCGUGGGGAGCAAACAGG